UACGAAGGGUGCAAGCGUUACUCGGAAUUACUGGGCGUAAAGCGUGCGUAGGUGGUGAGUUAAGUCUGUCGUGAAAGCCCCGGGCUCAACCUGGGAAUGGCGAUGGAUACUGGCUCGCUAGAGUGCGGUAGAGGAGAGUGGAAUUCCCGGUGUAGCAGUGAAAUGCGUAGAGAUCGGGAGGAACAUCAGUUGCGAAGGCGGCUCUCUGGACCAGCACUGACACUGAGGCACGAAGGUCAGGGGAGCAAACGGG
rnacentral:rRNA from 1 species